GAAUGAGAUGAUGGUUAUCAUUUUUUUAUCGGUUUGAUAGCCGAUAUGAUGGCAUUUUAUUGUGAAUUCUGGCUGAUCAUUC